CGAGGGCACGUCUGCCUGGGUGUC
rnacentral:siRNA from 1 species